rnacentral:rRNA from 1 species
UUCCUACGGGAGGCAGCAGUGAGGAAUAUUGGUCAAUGGGAGAGAUCCUGAACCAGCCAAGCCGCGUGAGGGAAGACGGCCCUAUGGGUUGUAAACCUCUUUUGUCGGAGAACAAAACCCGGGACGUGUCCCGGACUGCGUGUAUCCGAAGAAAAAGCAUCGGCUAACUCCGUGCCAGCAGCCGCGGUAAUACGGAGGAUGCGAGCGUUAUCCGGAUUUAUUGGGUUUAAAGGGUGCGUAGGCGGUCCGUUAAGUCAGCGGUAAAAUUGCGGGGCUCAACCCCGUCGGGCCGUUGAAACUGGCAG